AAAAACAUAGUAUUAAGAUUUAUUUAAUAUAAAAUCUGCUCAAUGAUUUAAUUUAAAUAGCUGCAGUAUUUUGACUGUGCAAAGGUAGCAUAAUAAUUAGUCUUUUAAUUGAGGACUUGAAUGAAAGAUUUGAUGAAAAAUAGACUUUAUUAUUUAUAAAAUUAAAAUUUUAUUUUUAAGUAAAAAAGCUUAAAUAUUUUAAAGGGACGAUAAGACCCUAUAAAACUUUAUAAUUAAAAUUAUUAGAAUUUUUGGGGUAUUAAAAUUUUAAUAUUUUUAAUUAUUUUAUUGGGGUGAUAAAAAAAAUUAUUUAACUUUUUUUAAAUUUUAACAUUAAUUAAUGAUAUAUUGAAUUAAAAAUUUUAAUUAUAGGAAAAAGUUACUUUAGGGAUAACAGCGUAAUUAUUUUUUUAAGUUCAAAUUUAAAAAUUAGUUUGCGACCUCGAUGUUGAAUUAAGAUUAUUCUUAGGUGCAAAAUUUUAAGUUAUAGGUCUGUUCGAC
rnacentral:rRNA from 2 species